UGUUUUUCUUACAUCUCACAGCGAUGUCUAGUGCCCUAGUCGCGGUAGCAGGGAUGGAUUGGAUGGAUGCAUUCCACGGUAUUGUGAUCGGGGUUGUUGCCUUGCACGGGAGCACUCUGCCCAAAUCCAGUUCAGGCUCAGGCCUUCUUAGACGAAGGAUGACUUUGUCCUGGAGAAGAACAGUGGAGGAGGAGCGUUUGGAUCCAUCCGUCUACAAAGGAUCGUUUGCGAAAUCCUCAAAAGAAGGUGCGUGGGUUUUGUUCUUUGAUUUUUCUCGAUGACGGAUUUACGAUGGUUUGCUGAUCCCUCUCUUUCUCUCUGGCGUUUCAUAUAUCUUUGGUUCUAGAGAGUCAAUCCGAAGGAGGAGUUUUUGCUGGUGUGGCGUUACGAAGAAAAUCUCAAAUCGCGACAGACAGGUUGAGAAGGCGUUGAGCUUGAAGACUACACAGCUUGCCAAAGGUGCCGAGCGAGAAUUCCAGAUGGAGCUAUUAAAAUGUUUGAGGGAGACUGGGAUUCAUCUUUCCGACGAGUCGAAGUCCUUCAAGAUUAUUGAUCUCGGUCGGUGAGGACUUGCUACUUGGCAUCGACUACAUUCCGCAAGAGUUCCUACUGGAUCCAAGGUACGCUGCACCAGAGCUGUACGUUAUGAGCACUCAGACUCCCUCCGCUCCAUCGCCUGUCACUGCAACAGCACUCUCUCCAGUUCUAUGGCAGCUAAACCUGCCAGACCGCUACAGCCUCGGAUUGAUGUUCUUGCAAAUGGUAAGUCCAGCUGAUACAUCUAUCAAUGGCAGGUGUUUUCGAAACUGAGAAGCGAUAGUGCUCUCAUCCAGUUCAAUGAAGCGCAUGAAUCACGACUUAGUUGCGUGGAGAAACUUGGUGGACGCUCGGCGAAAUCCGGGCGUUCAACGUGGCUUCGAGAUUCUGGACGGAGGAGCUGGCUGGGAGCUGCUCCAAGCGAUGAUGCAGUUUAAAGGUCGCCAACGUAUCAGUGCCUGGCCUGUCCCACAAUGUCCUCGGGCACCAGCGACCACAGCUACCAUCGGGUUGUCCCUGUCGAGACGGAAGUAGCGUACUCCUAGUUACGUAGACAAGGAUUCAAUUCAAUGUGCAUUCUUUCCUUUCUUUCCUGA